AUGAACGCUGGCGGCGUGCCUAAUCCAUGCAAGUCGAGCGAACGGACGAGAAGCUUGCUUCUCUGAUGUUAGCGGCGGACGGGUGAGUAACACGUGGAUAGCCUACCUAUAAGACUGGGAUAACUUCGGGAAACCGGAGCUAAUACCGGAUAAUAUUUUGAACCGCAUGGUUCAAAAGUGAAAGACGGUCUUGCUGUCACUUAUAGAUGGAUCCGCGCUGCAUUAGCUAGUUGGUAAGGUAACGGCUUACCAAGGCAACGAUGCAUAGCCGACCUGAGAGGGUGAUCGGCCACACUGGAACUGAGACACGGUCCAGACUCCUACGGGAGGCAGCAGUAGGGAAUCUUCCGCAAUGGGCGAAAGCCUGACGGAGCAACGCCGCGUGAGUGAUGAAGGUCUUCGGAUCGUAAAACUCUGUUAUUAGGGAAGAACAUAUGUGUAAGUAACUGUGCACAUCUUGACGGUACCUAAUCAGAAAGCCACGGCUAACUACGUG
rnacentral:rRNA from 1 species